rfam:Schistosoma margrebowiei strain Zambia genome assembly, scaffold: SMRZ_scaffold0002994
AUCCAACUGACGCGUCCUAAACAGGACGAGACGUUCAUCUUGGAU